CGUUACUCGGAAUCACUGGGCGUAAAGGACACGUAGGCGGGUUGGAAAGUCAGAUGUGAAAUCCUACAGCUUAACUGUAGAACUGCAUUUGAAACUUCCAACCUAGAGUAUGGGAGGGGGAGAUGGAAUUAGUGGUGUAGGGGUAAAAUCCGUAGAUAUCACUAGGAAUACCUAAAGCGAAGGCGAUCUCCUGGAACAUUACUGACGCUAAGGUGUGAAAGCGUGGGGAGCAAACGGGAUUAGAUACCCCGGUAGUCCACGCCCUAAACGAUGAACACUAGUCGUCGGGAUGCUUGUCAUCUCGGUGAUGCACUUAACAGAUUAAGUGUUCCGCCUGGGGAGUACGGUCGCAAGAUUAAAACUCAAAGGAAUAGACGGGGACCCGCACAAGUGGUGGAGCAUGUGGUUUAAUUCGAAGAUACGCGAAGAACCUUACCUAGCCUUGACAUUGAAGAAAUACCCUAGAGAUAGAGUAGUGCCCUUCGGGGAAUCUGAAAACAGGUGCUGCACGGCUGUCGUCAGCUCGUGUCGUGAGAUGUUGGGUUAAGUCCCGCAACGAGCGCAACCCUCGUCAAUAGUUGCCAGCAGGUUAAGCUGGGCACUCUAUUGAGACUGCCUUCGCAAGGAGGAGGAAGGUGAGGACGACGUCAAGUCAUCAUGGCCCUUAUGGCUAGGGCUACACACGUGCUACAAUGGGGCGUACAGAGUGUUGCGAUACCGUGAGGUGGAGCCAAUCACUUAAAGCGUCUCUCAGUUCGGAUUGAAGUCUGCAACUCGACUUCAUGAAGCUGGAAUCACUAGUAACCGUAGAUCAGCAAUGCUACGGUGAAUACGUUCCCGGGUCUUGUACUCACCGCCCGUCACACCAUGGGAGUUGAUUUCGCCCGAAAUUGGGAAGCUAACCUUCGGGAGGCUACCACUUACGGCGGAAUUAGCGACUGGGGUGAAGUCGUAACAAGGUAGCC
rnacentral:rRNA from 1 species